rnacentral:pre_miRNA from 1 species
AGGGGGAGCGCCGGAUCUUGGGCUGUGUCCUGCGCGCCCUGUGCUCCUGGGCCUGCGCUGUUGGAGUCGCGCUCCCGGCUGCGCAGCUCCCU